UACGUAGGUGGCAAGCGUUGUCCGGAGUUAUUGGGCGUAAAGCGCGCGCAGGCGGUGCGGAUAAGUCUAUGGUGAAAGCGCUCGGCUUAACUGGGCGAGGGCCGUGGAGACUGCCGGACUGGAGGGGAGCAGAGGCGAGUGGAAUUCCGGGUGUAGUGGUGAAAUGCGUAGAGAUCCGGAGGAACACCAGUGGCGAAGGCGGCUCGCUGGGCUCAACCUGACGCUGAGGCGCGAAAAGCGUGGGGGAGCGAACCGGGAUUAGAAACCCCCGGU
rnacentral:rRNA from 1 species